CUAUGCGCCUUGCCAGCCGCUCAGGUGUGCCAGCAGCCGCGGUAAUACGGAGGAUGCGAGCGUUAUCCGGAUUUAUUGGGUUUAAAGGGUGCGUAGGCGGUCCGUUAAGUCAGCGGUAAAAUUGCGGGGCUCAACCCCGUCGAGCCGUUGAAACUGUCAGACUUGAGUUGGCGAGAAGUACGCGGAAUGCGCGGUGUAGCGGUGAAAUGCAUAGAUAUCGCGCAGAACUCCGAUUGCGAAGGCAGCGUACCGGCGCCAGACUGACGCUGAGGCACGAAAGCGUGGGGAGCAAACAGG
rnacentral:rRNA from 1 species